rnacentral:rRNA from 1 species
GAUGAACGCUAGCGGGAGGCCUAACACAUGCAAGCCGAGCGGUAGAGUUCCUUCGGGAACUUGAGAGCGGCGUACGGGUGCGUAACACGUGUGCAACCUACCUUUAUCUGGGGGAUAGCCUUUCGAAAGGAAGAUUAAUACCCCAUAAUAUAAUGAUUGGCAUCAAUUAUUAUUGAAAACUCCGGUGGAUAGAGAUGGGCACGCGCAAGAUUAGAUAGUUGGUGAGGUAACGGCUCACCAAGUCAAUGAUCUUUAGGGGUCCUGAGAGGGAGAUCCCCCAACCUGGUACUGAGACACGGACCAGACUCCACCGGGAGGCAGCAGGGGGGAAUAUUGGACAAGGGGUGAAAGCCUGAUCCAGCCACCCCGGGUGAAGGAUGACGGUCCUAUGGAUUGAAAACUUUUUUUGUAAAGGGAUAAACCUCCUCUCGUGGGGGGAGCUGAAGUUACUGUAAGAAAAAGCACCGGCUAACCCCGG